rnacentral:tRNA from 1 species
UCGGGAUAGCUCAGCUGGUGAGCAGAGAACUGAAA